GUACAAAGGGUCAUGGUUAGCAUUGCUAAGCCUGUGUAAUUGUCUGACUUCCAUCAGUAACUAAAAAAGCCAAAUUUUCCUUUAAAAAAAAGAUAUAUAUAUAUAUAUAUUUAAUUGUUUAACUAGCUGUUUGUCAAAUUAAGAAUCUAAAUGACAUGUGGACAUACGGACAUUUUAGACACUAAGCAUGUUUGGUGUUUUCAUGCAAAUAUUUAAAAAAAAUUAAAAUCAAUAUGAUAAUAUCAUAAUGUUAAACAUUCAUUAGAUGUACUCCUAUCCUAAAUCCUGUCUCCUGUUUCCAGUAGCAGAAAUCAAUAAUGACAUAUUUUAUCUGAUAUACUAUCCUAUCAUAGGCUGUAGUCUGUGCCUUUGGUUGGCAGUUGGUGCAGAGUGCAGCAGCAGAAACCACAUCUCUGCAUCACUCGGAUGGAUUACCCUGGCUCCCUGUACAGUUCACUCUAUAAUUGUUUAAGUUACUUUUAAAGUCAGCUGUAGCUUUCGCUCUGUGAGAAUUGGUGGUCGUUUAAUACCUUUUAAUCUACGCCAAGGCCCCUCAAGUUUGGGAGGUAAAACAGUUGACAGCUUUAAAGCUUUAGAGCGUCUUUCUAUGAAUGAAGAGCCGUUACAUUUAAGCCAUUGCCAAAUGAGGCAAUGCAAAUCUAAUAAAGACCUUCAGCUCCACAAAACUCUCUCUGCAUUUCUCAGUAUGGCUAUGUUUACAGAAUGAUGCCAUCCGGUGACUUUCGCACGCAGAAAAUCUAAUUCAUUACUUAGAAUUCCUCAUGGGGGCGACACAAACUACACACUAUAGCUCUAAACUACAGACUGUUACAUUUGCUUGGCUUGAAUUAUUUUCAGGCUAGACAUACAGUAUUUCGGUUGUAUUAAAUAUUUGAAUCACAUUUAUUACUGCUUCUUUAACACCAUAUUCUCACAUACUAAAGAUCAGAGUACAUUUCCUUGUUCAUCUCACUUGAACCUCAGAUUCCUACCGUGAUUUAAAUCUCUGGGGAUGCAGCAAUGGGGUUUAAGACGACACAGGUUUAAACCCGUCCUGCUGAACCUUAAACUGCAGCUAAGCUAAUGAAAUACCAACAGUGAGCAACACUGACCAUAAACAGGACUUUGGUUUGCUCACAAGAAAGCUCCACAGGGUACCGUUAAUCUUUCACUUCUUAAAAAAUAGAACUACUUGCACUCCUGUGCCAAAUCUUGUUUGCGUUCAAGAAGAAGCUGCUGUAUUCAAAAUAGAAACAUGAAGCCAUAUUGCAUGGAUUGAUGUUUACAUAUCAGUGACAUACUAUACUGAUAGCCAUAGUUUACAGUACUCAAGCGCUCAGCUGAAUGCAGCCCACAUGCUCUAAUCGAGGGUUUCUUUCCUGUACAUUGUGCCCAGCGUGGUUGGGUUUUGUAUAUGAUGAGGUAGAUGAGUGAACUGUCAGAAAUGCCAAUACUGUUUCUUAUUGAUACAUUCCUGAAUGUCCCUCAGACUGUGCAACCUGUUUUUUUUCUAUCCUCCUACUCCUCAGUGCAACCUGUGCUUGGUCAUACAAUGAAAGAGUUAUGUCAUUGAAAAGUAGCGCAACAGGCCUUGAUUGACUGUUUCCUGGCAACGUGAAAAGAUGAAACAGCAGAGGACAUAAGCGAGUAUGUGAGACCUUAGGCCUCCUGUAGGCGGCAUCAGUUUCUGUAGCUGUAAAGAAGCUGGUGGACAGGAAGUGUGUCCCAUGGGCCACUUUUAACCCCGACAAACCGCAGCAACACGAUUUUUUUUUAAACA